rnacentral:rRNA from 1 species
UACGUAGGUGACAAGCGUUGUCCGGAUUUACUGGGUGUAAAGGGCGUGUAGGCGGGAUAGCAAGUCAGUCGUGAAAUACCGAAGCUCAACUUCGGAGCUGCGAUUGAAACUGUUAUUCUUGAGUAUCGGAGAGGAAAGCGGAAUUCCCAGUGUAGCGGUGAAAUGCGUAGAUAUUGGGAGGAACACCAGUGGCGAAGGCGGCUUUCUGGACGACAACUGACGCUGAGGCGCGAAAGUGUGGGGAGCAAAC